UACGGAGGGUGCAAGCGUUAUCCGGAUUCACUGGGUUUAAAGGGUGCGUAGGUGGGUUGGUAAGUCAGUGGUGAAAUCUCCGAGCUUAACUUGGAAACUGCCAUUGAUACUAUCAGUCUUGAAUAUUGUGGAGGUCAGCGGAAUAUGUCAUGUAGCGGUGAAAUGCUUAGAUAUGAACAUAGAACACCAAUUGCGAAGGCAGCUCACUCACAAAUAUUGACGCUGAGGCAACGAAAGCGUGGGGAUCAAACAGG
rnacentral:rRNA from 1 species